GGAAAAGUCCAAGAGAAACCACCACGGGCUUCAUUUAGAAGACACGCAAGGCCUUGCAACCCCGUUCUCGGAUUCUCAAAGCAAAUGGGCGCUUCCCAUUGGCCAGAUUUCGGAAUGGUUCAAAGGUCUAUUUCCAAGGCGAAAACCAGCAAACCAGCAGCUCUUAGGAUACAUCAGCAGAGUGGAUGCCGAUCAACACCAGCGAGUGAGGUCUGACAUCGAGGAGACAGCCAUGGCUCCUUCACGCAAAUCUAAUCGUGAGGAGCACACGGUUUAAGACGGGACCCGCUGAGCACCUUGGAGAACUCACGGGGAAAGCAGAGACUUUAAAUUUCACCCAGAGAAAACUGUGUGAGGCUAAUCAAUGGUUUUACAUCCUGAAUUCACGAACAAUGAACAACCAUGAAACAGAACAGUCCAAUUUCUCGAGGGGUGGGGGAGGGGAAGACGAGGGAUCAAGGUUAUACAAGGCACACAAAAACAGAGUGUG
rnacentral:lncRNA from 1 species